rnacentral:rRNA from 1 species
ACUUGAAUUGAAGAGUUUGAUCAUGGCUCAGAUUGAACGCUGGCGGCAGGCUUAACACAUGCAAGUCGAACGGUAGCAGGAGAAAGCUUGCUUUCUUGCUGACGAGUGGCGGACGGGUGAGUAAUGCUUGGGAAUCUGGCUUAUGGAGGGGGAUAACGACGGGAAACUGUCGCUAAUACCGCGUAUUAUCGGAAGAUGAAAGUGCGGGACUGAGAGGCCGCAUGCCAUAGGAUGAGCCCAAGUGGGAUUAGGUAGUUGGUGGGGUAAAGGCCUACCAAGCCUGCGAUCUCUAGCUGGUCUGAGAGGAUGACCAGCCACACUGGAACUGAGACACGGUCCAGACUCCUACGGGAGGCAGCAGUGGGGAAUAUUGCGCAAUGGGGGGAACCCUGACGCAGCCAUGCCGCGUGAAUGAAGAAGGCCUUCGGGUUGUAAAGUUCUUUCGGUAUUGAGGAAGGUUGAUGUGUUAAUAGUACAUCAAAUUGACGUUAAAUACAGAAGAAGCACCGGCUAACUCCGUGCCAGCAGCCGCGGUAAUACGGAGGGUGCGAGCGUUAAUCGGAAUAACUGGGCGUAAAGGGCACGCAGGCGGUUAUUUAAGUGAGGUGUGAAAGCCC